ACUGCUAAGGUAAUCUUUGCCUGGGGUAAGAAAAUCCUUAGUUUUUCAAAAAAAUCAAAGUUUUGUAAACAGGAAAUUUAUAAAAAUGACCACAUUAUUAAUAUUCAUGUCAACACCGAAGUGUUGACCACUGGGCUGGUCAUACCCUAGGGGACGAAACGCCCACCAGCAGUGGCAUCGACCCAGUGGUGUAAAUAGUUAUCAAAGGUACCAGGAUUAUAA
rnacentral:lncRNA from 1 species